GAUGAACGCUGGCGGCGUGCCUAAUACAUGCAAGUCGAGCGAACGGACGAGAAGCUUGCUUCUCUGAUGUUAGCGGCGGACGGGUGAGUAACACGUGGAUAACCUACCUAUAAGACUGGGAUAACUUCGGGAAACCGUAGCUAAUACCGGAUAAUAUUUUGAACCGCAUGGUUCAAAAGUGAAAGACGGUCUUGCUGUCACUUAUAGAUGGAUCCGCGCUGCAUUAGCUAGUUGGUAAGGUAACGGCUUACCAAGGCAACGAUGCAUAGCCGACCUGAGAGGGGGAGGGCCAACAGGAGAAGGGAGACGGGGCCAAGACUACGGGGGGAGGAGGAAGGGGGAAUUCGUCGGAAAGGGGGGAAAGCGGAAGAGAGAAGGGCGGGGGGAGGAAGAAAGGUCUAGGAAUCGAAAAACUCUUUAAUGGGGAAAAAAAAUAUGUGAAAGAAAGUGGACAAAGUGGGAGGGAACAAAAUAAGAAGGCAAGGGCAAGCUAGGUG
rnacentral:rRNA from 1 species